rnacentral:tRNA from 1 species
GUCAGGAUGGCCGAACUAAUGCGGUCCAAGGGCGCUGCGUUAAGGUCGCAGUCUCCACUGGAGGCGUGGGUUCAAAUCCCACUUCUGACA